rnacentral:pre_miRNA from 1 species
CUUUGCUUUAAGCUUCUUUACAGUGUUGCCUUGUGGCAUGGAGUUCAAGCAGCAUUGUACAGGGCUAUCAAAGCAUGG